rnacentral:misc_RNA from 1 species
GCAAAGUUGACUGGAUAUGAGCACAAUGCAGUGACAUGUAUUGGCAUGAAAACUGAGAUACCUGUUAUUUUGGAUGAAGCGAUUGUAAGGCUGAAUCCUGAUUUCUUCUGGCUGGGUGGUGGGGAGGUAGAUCUGAAGCUUGGGAUAAAUACCUCAGAAUUUAUCAAUUUUGUUAAACCUUUCAUUGUUGGAUGUAGUAGCGCAUGAUUAACCCAAAUGAAACCUUUUUUGGACUACAUGAAAAGGACAAGGCUGUUAGACCAAUAGAUGAGGAAUUAGCAUUUUCAUCAAGAUAUGUUGUGGAAAACUCGGGCUUUUCAGGAUAGAAAUCUUUGGAGAAGAAAUUUUUUAUUUGCAUAAUUUUCUUUUGUUGGUAUUUUCCAAGGCACUGAAUUUAAAUUGGAAGAUCUGUAUUGGAUAUUUAUACACAUUCAUUAUUGUGAUUAUCAGAUGAUAUGGCAUU